rnacentral:rRNA from 1 species
AAUAGAUACCCUGGUAGUCCACCCCGUAAACGUUGGGAACUAGUUGUGGGGUCCAUUCCACGGAUUCCGUGACGCAGCUAACGCAUUAAGUUCCCCGCCUGGGGAGUACGGCCGCAAGGCUAAAAACUCAAAGGAAUUGACGGGGACCCGCACAAGCGGCGGAGCAUGCGGAUUAAUUCGAUGCAACGCGAAGAACCUUACCAAGGCUUGACAUAUACGAGAACGGGCCAGAAAUGGUCAACUCUUUGGACACUCGUAAACAGGUGGUGCAUGGUUGUCGUCAGCUCGUGUCGUGAGAUGUUGGGUUAAGUCCCGCAACGAGCGCAACCCUCGUUCUAUGUUGCCAGCACGUAAUGGUGGGAACUCAUGGGAUACUGCCGGGGUCAACUCGGAGGAAGGUGGGGAUGACGUCAAAUCAUCAUGCCCCUUAUGUCUUGGGCUUCACGCAUGCUACAAUGGCCGGUACAAAGGGCUGCAAUACCGUGAGGUGGAGCGAACUACCCGAAAAACGCCGGUCCCAGUUCGGAUUGAGGUCUGCAACUCGACCUC